CCUACGGGGGGCAGCAGUGGGGAAUUGUUCGCAAUGGGCGCAAGCCUGACGACGCAACGCCGCGUGGAGGAUGAAGGUCUUCGGAUUGUAAACUCCUGUUGCUCGGGAAGAAUGGCUCCGACCUAACACGUCGGAGUGUGACGGUACCGGGUGAGGAAGCCCCGGCUAACUCUGUGUCAGCAGCCGCGGUAAUACAGAGGGGGCAAGCGUUGUUCGGAAUUACUGGGCGUAAAGGGCGCGUAGGCGGCCUGCUAAGUCGAACGUGAAAUCCCCGGGCUCAACCCGGGAACUGCGUCCGAUACUGGCAGGCUUGAAUCCGGGAGAGGGAUGCGGAAUUCCAGGUGUAGCGGUGAAAUGCGUAGAGAUGUGGAGGAAUACCGGUGGCGAAGGCGGCCCCCUGGACAAAGACUGACGCGCAUGUGCGAAAGCGUGGGGAGCAAACAGGAUUAGAUACCCGAGUAGUC
rnacentral:rRNA from 1 species